ensembl:rRNA 5S_rRNA 5S ribosomal RNA
UGAAGGCGCCCGAUCUCGUCUGAUCUCGGAAGCUAAGCA